ensembl:lncRNA
GGGGGACAAGACUCAGUUAGGAUACAGUUAGAUAGAUCUGAGACUCAGUUAGGAUACAGUUAGAUAGGUCUGAGACUCAGUUAGGAUACAGUUAGAAAGGUAAGAUACAGUUAGAUAGGUCAGAGACUCAGUGAGUUAGGAUACAGUAAGAAAGGUCUGAGGCUCAGUGAGCUAAGAUACAGUUAGAUAGGUCUGAGACUCAGUUAGGAUACAGUUAGAUAGGUCUGAGACUCAGUGAGUUAGGAUACAGUUAGAAAGGUCUGAGACUCAGUUGGGAUACAGUUAGAUAGGUCUGAGACUCUUCUUUGAACCAGGCUCUUCGUUUGGACUCAGUUAGUUGGGUCUCAGACUAAGUUGCUUAGGGCCAGUUACCAAGGACCAGUUAGCAAAGACUAACUGGUCCUAAGGUAAAGAGACAACACACCUCGACGAGGUGGAACCAGAACUGGACUCCAACACACAACCGGCAAAGUGAAGGUUUCUAUUUGCAGUUACACUGACUUUCUUUUCCAUCUUAUCUUGUCAUUAUUUAUAUCCAAUAAGUAAUACACCGUUUAAUCUGCACUGUUAUUGAAAGGAGGAAUAAAUGAAGAGCUGAGAGGUGACAGUUGGGAUUAUGGGAGACGGGGUUAUGAUGAAGAGGAAGGGCACCUCCUCUGAUAAUCUUCGGUGACCACCCUGCUCCCUGCGGAGGGGGACGCGGGCCCCUCCCUCCGCCCCCUCCUGCCAGCUCCUGGGGGGCGGGGACAGGGGGCCGGGCCCCCGCGCUGAGGCCCCGCCUGGCCCCCCGCCCUCUCCGCUGAGGACCUCCAAGCUGUAGCUGUACACACAAACACACACACACACACACAGGCACAUACACACAUACACAAAACACACACACACACGCACGCAUACACACAGGUUAAGAAAAAAUAAAACACACCAGUGAAAAGAGAGACACACACACACAGACACACAGACACACACACACACACUAGUAUACACACAACCCACAAGUUCGGACGCACCCCAUUUCAGACACACACACACACACACACA